UGCAACGGCAGCGGAUGUCGAAACCAGCCUAAGUUUGCCAGCCAGCCCUCGUCUGAUUUUGAGUGGCAAUGAGCAAAAACUGAGUGGAUGGAUGGUCAGUGCUGAAGGCCAUGUCAUCUUUGAGGGGGUCCUGCCAACAUUUUCAACAGGGCUUGCAGCGGUGUUUGCCACAUUUUACAUCUUCAACCUGCAAUAUCAAGAUGAGGCAGCAAAGACUUUGGAGUU